AGCAUCCAAGAAGAGUGUGGGCAGCUGCAGCCAGGUUCUCCUCCUCCUCCUUCUCCUCCUCUUCUUCCUCCUCCUUCUUUUCUUCAUUUCCUCCUCCUCCUGCCUAUUGCAGAGCAGCAGAAAGCAAAGGAGCUAGAAAAGGCUAAAAUCAAUUCUUUUUCUGUAACCUUUUUGCUUUGCUUUUAUUAAGUUCUUAAGGCUUUUGGUCUUGAGUCCUAGAUAGGAUGCAAAUAAUUUUGAAGGGAUCAUAACUUUUAAUAUUAUCAGUGGAUAUUUAAGAAAAAAAUAAAACCAUAGGAUAGAUUGAUUGACAGUUAGUAGAGAAUAAAAAGAAGAUUCAGGAGAGGCCAUGGGGAGACGAAGAGAGAGAAAGGGGUGGAGAGUGUGCAUGAGUGUAUGUGAGUGUGUGUGUGUGUAUGUGUGCAUGUGAGAGAGAGAGAGCAGGGGAGGGAGGGAGAGAGAGAGUGAGAGAGAGAGAAAGAGUGGAAAUUCUAUAAAGAAAUUGCCGCUUCUUCUUCUGUUCAACUAUUUCACUAUUUUGUCAAAACUUUGCACUGCCUCUAAGGUCUCCUGCAACUCACCCACCCACCCCUCUUGCUCCAUCGUAUUCAACUUCUAAACUAAGAGGAAAGCCCGAGCUAUAUGUCCUAUGCAUCAGUCAGGGAAGACAUAUUGAGAAGAAUAAACAGAGAAACUAUAUUUUUUCUCUCAACUAAAACAUCCAUUUUAAUCAAUAUUUGGCAAGAAAAUAUCUACCUGUUUCAUCUUCACUGGUUAUUUCCAUAAACUGGAAAGAAUGACUGUCUAAAUGGUAGUUAUGUCCCAUGAGAUAUUUAAGCAAAGGGGAAAAAUAUACAAAAAAGAAUGCCAAAUUUUGUCUGGGCCACCAGAAUGACAGUAAAAAUUUAUCAUGCUAGAAA